GCGGAAGUGGCGAAAUUGGUAGACGCACCAGAUUUAGGUUCUGGCGCCGCGAUGCGUAAGAGUUCAAGUCUCUUCUUCCGCACCA
rnacentral:tRNA from 1 species